rnacentral:rRNA from 1 species
UACGAAGGGGGGCUAGCGUUGCUCGGAAUCACUGGGCGUAAAGCGCACGUAGGCGGAUUGUUAAGUCAGGGGUGAAAUCCUGGAGCUCAACUCCAGAACUGCCUUUGAUACUGGCGAUCUCGAGUCCGGGAGAGGUGAGUGGAACUGCGAGUGUAGAGGUGAAAUUCGUAGAUAUUGGGAGGAACACCAGUGGCGAAGGCGGCUCGCUGGACCGGAACUGACGCUGAGGCGCGAAAGCGUGGGGAGCAAACAGG